rnacentral:rRNA from 1 species
AUUGAACGCUGGCGGCAUGCCUUACACAUGCAAGUCGAACGGCAGCACGGGUGCUUGCACCUGGUGGCGAGUGGCGAACGGGUGAGUAAUACAUCGGAACAUGUCCUGUAGUGGGGGAUAGCCCGGCGAAAGCCGGAUUAAUACCGCAUACGAUCUACGGAUGAAAGCGGGGGACCUUCGGGCCUCGCGCUAUAGGGUUGGCCGAUGGCUGAUUAGCUAGUUGGUGGGGUAAAGGCCUACCAAGGCGACGAUCAGUAGCUGGUCUGAGAGGACGACCAGCCACACUGGGACUGAGACACGGCCCAGACUCCUACGGGAGGCAGCAGUGGGGAAUUUUGGACAAUGGGCUAAAGCCUGAUCCAGCAAUGCCGCGUGUGUGAAGAAGGCCUUCGGGUUGUAAAGCACUUUUGUCCGGAAAGAAAUCCUUGGCCCUAAUACGGUCGGGGGUUGACGGUACCGGAAGAAUAAGCACCGGCUAACUACGUG